rfam:Microgenomates (Woesebacteria) bacterium GW2011_GWA1_39_12 TT23_C0016, whole genome shotgun sequence.
GCGUCUGUGGCCUAACGGACAGGGCACGUGGCUUCGGACCAUGGGGUGGAGGUUCGAUUCCUCCCAGACGCA